GACGAACGCUGGCGGCGUGCUUAACACAUGCAAGUCGAACGGAAAGGCCCUGCUUUUGUGUGGUGCUCGCGUGGCGAACGGGUGAGUAACACGUGAGUAACCUGCCCUUGACUUUGGGAUAACUUCAGGCAACUGGGGCUAAUACCGGCUAGGUGCUCCUGCUGCAUGGUGGGGGUUGGAAAGUUUCGGCGGGUGGGGAUGGAGUCGCGGGUUAUCAGCUUGUUGGUGGGGUACUGGCUUACCAAGGCUUUGACGGGUAGCCGGCCUGGGAGGGUGACCGGCCACAUUGGUACUGAGAGACGGCCCAGACUGCUAUGGGAGGCAGCAGUGGGGAAUAUUGCACAAUGGGCGGGAGCGUGAUGCAGAGACGCCGCGUGCGGGAUGACGGCCUUCGGGUUGUAAACCGCUUUCGCCUGUGACGAAGCUUGAGUGACGGUAAUGAGUAAAGAAGCACCGGCUAACUACGUG
rnacentral:rRNA from 1 species